rnacentral:rRNA from 1 species
GUCUAUGGCCAUACUACUCUGAACAUGCCUGAUCUCGUCUGAUCUUGGAAGCUAAGCAGGGUCGGGCGUAGUUUGUACUUGGAUGGGAGACCGCUUGGGAAUACCGGGUGCUGUAGGCU